UGUUGCUCCCCACAUCACCCUAGAGGGAGGGUUAAAAUGGUCCCUGCUUGCAGGUCCUUUCCCCCAGACCCAGGCAGUGUUCUCCUGUGAAGACAUGAAGGAAAUUGUGAUACAGUGAUGUGAAACACCUGCCUGUCUGUCUGCAGUAGAGCUUGUGAUCUGUGUGUGCAGGUGACCGACAGCAGCCAUGAUUGCCAAACAAACUGGAGAAGAGAUGAAGACAUGAUUUGUGCUGAGGAUGUAAAAUGGGGAGGAGAGCGAAUGAAACCAGUUUGUCAUGUUGCAAAAGUGUUUCUCUCUCUCUGUCACAUAUUCCACUUCUUAAUUAUUCUCUUCAUGCACUCAAAUGAAAAGGCUACUAAGUGAUCUGUGCAUAGAUGCUACUGUCAUCUCCAGAAGAAAAAAAUUAAUGCUUGAUCAGAAUAAGAAAUUCAUUAAACUCUGGCUACUGACACUCUCCUUCAACCUAAACACCACUCCUGGAAUAGGAUAUUCAAAAUCUUCCUGUCUCCUGGAAAGUCCAUGGAGUUGGAGGCAGCAUGAUGGAAACCUCAGCUAGUGCAGAGCAGCAAGAGGAAGAGUUGGCAGGAGCAGCUCUUAACAAGUAAG